rnacentral:rRNA from 1 species
AUUGAACGCUGGCGGCAGGCCUAACACAUGCAAGUCGAGCGGAGCGGCGGACGGGUGAGUAAUGCCUAGGAAUCUGCCUGGUAGUGGGGGAUAACGUCCGGAAACGGGCGCUAAUACCGCAUACUAUCAGAUGAGCCUAGGUCGGAUUAGCUAGGUGGUGGGGUAAAGCCCUACCAAGGCGACGAUCCGUAACUGGUCUGAGAGAAUGUUCAGUCACACUGGAACUGAGAAACAGGCAAGACUCCUACGGGAAGCAGCAGUGGGGAAUAUUGGACAAUGGGCGAAAGCCUGAUCAAGCCAGGCCGCGUGUGUGAAGAAGGUCUUCGGAUUGUAAAGAACUUUAAGUUGGGAGGUGUUAACAACAGAAUAAGCACCGGCUAACUACGUGCCAACAGCCAAGGUAAUAC